rnacentral:misc_RNA from 1 species
UCUUCUUCUUCUUCUUCUUCAUCCUUUUUAUUUUGGGGGCGGGGGGUGGUGGUGAUGUGGAGAUUUCUUUUCUUGUGAUUUGAGAUUCUUAGUAUUAAGUUUAUAGUUUGCUCCUUGCAAUUUUUCCCUUCGUGGUUGAUUACAAUUGUUUGUUUCUAACAGUGGGCAUACUCUCAUUGGACCAAAUUCCGGUGCUUUUUAGAUUUUUUUUUUUGAAAAAAUUUUGUCCCUCUCUGUUGCUUCUGACCUGCACUUUUUAUGCAUGAAUAGAAUCUUGCUGCCACGAUGGUUUUGACAGUAUUGUACUCUCAUUUAAGGAUCUUUUAGUCUUGUUAAAACCUUUUGAAGAAAUCAGUUACUUCUGUUAUGCACUUUCCUUGAAUGAUAUAGAAUCUUGUUGAUAACAGUAUUCUGUUAUUUGUAGUCCCCUUUCUUCUUGUUCUUCCCCCGUUUUUGCUAUGAUGGUAUCUUGCUUUCCUUUGUGUUAAUUGCUGGUGUUUGAUUUUAUUACAUUACGAUAAGUUCUUCCUUCCUCCAUUGCAUAUAUCAAUUAUUGGUAGUUCUCAUGAACUUUUGCCACUGCUUCUGUUACUUUAACUGGAUAAUGGACUUACCGGAUUUUCAGUUGCUUUCAUAGAUAGGACAAGGUACAUAUAGCAGUGUGUUUCGAGCACACGAGCUUGAAACUGGGAGGAUUGUUGCUCUAAAGAAGGUUCGCUUUGAUAAUUUUGAGCCUGAGAGUGUCCGGUUCAUGGCAAGAGAGAUACUGAUUCUCCGCAGGCUCAACCAUCCCAACGUCAUGAAAUUGGAUGGAUUAAUUACUUCCCGUUUAUCAUGUAGCAUUUACCUGGUAUUUGAGUACAUGGAG